rnacentral:ncRNA from 1 species
GAACUGAAGAGUUUGAUCAUGGCUCAGAUUGAACGCUGGCGGCAGGCCUAACACAUGCAAGUCGAGCGGAUGAAGGGAGCUUGCUCCUGGAUUUAGCGGCGGACGGGUGAGUAAUGCCUAGGAAUCUGCCUGGUGGUGGGGGAUAACGUUCGGAAACGGGCGCUAAUACCGCAUACGUCCUACGGGAGAAAGCGGGGGAUCUUCGGACCUCGCGCCAUUAGAUGAGCCUAGGUCGGAUUAGCUAGUUGGUGAGGUAAUGGCUCACCAAGGCUACGAUUCAGUGGCGCUGAAGGCUGAUGUAGAGCUGGGUGGGACUGAUCAGAAGUUCAAUCUGUUGAUGGGGCGUGAGCUGCAGCGUGCCUACGGCCAGUCUUCUCAGUGCGUGGUCACAAUGCCGCUGUUGGAGGGGUUGGAUGGCGUUAAGAAGAUGUCGAAGUCCCUUGGGAACUAUGUCGGCAUCCAAGAAGCGCCAGGUGUGA